UCCCCUUUUUGGCUUUAUUUUCUUCCCUUGAUCCGCCAUCUUCUUGUGCAUGAUAUUCGUUCUUCAUAUAUAUUCUUCAUAUAUCAUUGUUGUUUGACAUGUUUAAAAAUUGAAGCUUUUUGGGUUAAAAAUAUAUAAGCCGUUUCGGGUUAAAAAUAUUGGAGCCCUUUUGCAGGGUUAAAAGUGAGCUUUAUUUUUAAAUAUGUGACAGCAGGAUUGUUGAAAAUAUGAUUGAUAAUUAUCUCCACAUGUAUCUUUUGGACAUAUUUCUUCAUUAUCAUCAAAUUGGUUGCAGCUUGAUUUUGAAACCGCUUUGAACCUGUUUAAUCUCGUCUCACCACACCAUUGGACCAUUGAACUGUAAGCUCUGAUACCACUUGUUGCGUUCGAAAUCGAGAGGGCGUCAUGCGGAAGCUGUUAGUUGCAAACCAUUAUGAUGACAACUAGAAGACACAUAAAACAAUACUAAAAGACUUAAUAUUAUUAUAUUAUUUGGCCAAUUGACCUAUAUAUAAAACCUAAUAUAAAAAAAAUAUAAAAAUUUAUGAGAGAGAAAAUCUCCCCCUAAACAAAAACUCUUUAAAC
rnacentral:lncRNA from 1 species